rnacentral:rRNA from 1 species
GCGAGCUUGGUUUAGAACGUCGUGAGACAGUUCGGUACAUAACUGCCGUUGACGCUGGAGACCUGAGGGGGGCUGCUCCUAGUACGAGAGGACCGGAGUGGACGCAUCACUGGUGUUCGGGUUGUCAUGCCAAUGGCACUGCCCGGUAGCUAAAUGCGGAAGAGAUAAGUGCUGAAAGCAUCUAAGCACGAAACUUGCCCCGAGAUGAGUUCUCCCUGACCCUUUAAGGGUCCUGAAGGAACGUUGAAGACGACGACGUUGAUAGGCCGGGUGUGUAAGCGCAGCGAUGCGUUGAGCUAACCGGUACUAAUGAACCGUGAGGCUUAACCUU